AGCCUGCCCACUGAGGAUUUGAAUGGCCGCGGUAUUUUGACCGUGCAAAGGUAGCAUAAUAAUUAGUUUUUUAAUUGAAAGCUGGAAUGAAAGGUUGGAUGAGAAAAUAACUGUCUCUAUUUAGAUUGAUUAGAAUUUUAUUUUUAAGUAAAAAAGCUUAAAUAAUAAUAGAAGACGAGAAGACCCUAUAGAGUUUUAAUUUAGUUGGGGUGAUUGAAAAAUUUAAUAAACUUUUUUUGUAUUUAACCAUUAAUUUAUGAUUAAUUGAUCCUUUUUUAAAGAUUAAAAGAAAAAAUUACCUUAGGGAUAACAGCGUAAUUUUUUUAGAGAGUUCAAAUCGAAAAAAAAGAUUGCGACCUCGAUGUUGGAUUAAAAUUAAGUCUUGGUGUAGAAGCUAAG
rnacentral:rRNA from 1 species